GAGGGAUUCUGGGUAAUGUCAUUAUGGAGAUCAUCUACCUGCUGACUGGAGAGGUGAGGGAUUCUGGGUAAUGUCAUUAUGGAGAUCAUCUACCUGCUGACUGGAGAGGUGAGGGAUUCUGGGUAAUGUCAUUAUGGAGAUCAUCUACCUGCUGGCUGGAGAGGUGAGGGAUUCUGGGUAAUGUAAUUAUGUAGAUCAUCUACCUGCUGACUGGAGAGGUGAGGGAUUCUGGGUAAUGUCACCAUGGAGAUCAUCUACCUGCUGACUGGAGAGGUGAGG